rnacentral:rRNA from 1 species
UACGGGGGGGGCAAGCGUUGUUCGGAUUUACUGGGCGUAAAGGGCGCGUAGGCGGCCACCGCAAGUCAAUUGUGAAAUCUCCGGGCUUAACUCGGAAAGGUCAACUGAUACUGUGCGACUAGAGUGCGGAAGGGGCAACUGGAAUUCUUGGUGUAGCGGUGAAAUGCGUAGAUAUCAAGAGGAACACCUGCGGCGAAGGCGGGUUGCUGGGCCGACACUGACGCUGAGGCGCGAAAGCCAGGGGAGCGAACGGG